AGGGUCUUUUGGGGCCUAAUUGCUUUUUUUGAAGAAGUUUGAGGGUCUUUUUGAUGCAUUUUGAAAGUUCAAGUGCUCAAUUGAGUGCAAAAAAAAAAGAGGGACUUAAUUACUUUUUUUUUUAUUUUUUUAAAUUUGAGGGCGUUUUACACCCUUAAGUCAUUUUAUUAUGGUAAAUAUAUUAUCUAAUAAAUUUUACCUUGUUACGAG
rnacentral:lncRNA from 1 species